CCUUGUAUUGCUCUUGUUGGUC
rnacentral:siRNA from 1 species